rnacentral:rRNA from 1 species
AGAGUUUGAUCAUGGCUCAGAGUGAACGCUGGCGGCGUGCUUCAGACAUGCAAGUCGACGUGAAAGCCCGCAAGGNNNNGAAAGUGGCGCACGGGUGAGUAAUAUUUAGGUAACAUACCUUCUCGCUGGGGAUAACAAGGGAAAGCUUUGCUAAUACCGAAUGAUUCGACGAGUUCUGCGGAACUUUUCGACAAAGCUGUAAAGCGCGGGAAGAGUGGCCUGAAUCUGAUUAGCUAGUUGGAGGGUAAUGGCCUACCAAGGCUACGAUCGGUAGCUGGCUGAGAGGAUGACCAGCCACACUGGAACUGGAACACGGUCCAGACUCCUACGGGAGGCAGCAGUUAGGAAUUUUGCGCAAUGGCCGAAAGGCUGACGCAGCAACGCCGCGUGAGGGAUGAAGGCCUUCGGGUUGUAAACCUCUUUCGACUGGGAAAAACAUAAUGAUGGUACCAGGAGAAGAAGCACCGGCUAACUACGUGCCAGCAGCCGCGGUAAUACGUAGGGUGCAAGCGUUACUCGGAAUUAUUGGGCGUAAAGCGCAUGUAGGCGGCUUUAUAAGUUUGAUGUGAAAUCCCUGGACUCAAUUCAGGAACUGCAUUGAAUACUGUAAGGCUAGAGUAUGAGAGAGGUAGGCGGAAUUCCUGGUGUAGAGGUGAAAUUCGUAGAUAUCAGGAGGAACAACAGAGGCGAAGGCGGCUUACUGGAUCAUAACUGACGCUGAGAUGCGACAGUGUGGGGAGCAAACAGGAUUAGAUACCCUAGUAGUCC